rnacentral:rRNA from 1 species
GUCAGCCUGCCAGUGACUAAUGUUCAACGGCCGCGGUAUCCUAACCGUGCGAAGGUAGCGUAAUCACUUGUUCUUUAAAUGAGGACUAGUAUGAACGGCACCACGAGGGUUAUACUGUCUCCUCUCUCUAAUCAGUGAAACUAAUCUCCCCGUGAAGAAGCGGGGAUAAAAAUAUAAGACGAGAAGACCCUAUGGAGCUUUAAACUUACCCUCAAACGCCAAAAUCACACACCAAGUUUUAAACUUCACCAUAUGAACUCUCGCGCCAUGAGGGCAAUUUUUAGGUUGGGGUGACCAUGGAGUAUAAAAUAACCUCCAUGCUGAAUAGGCCUCCAAGCCUCGAGCCAAGGGCUACGACCCAUCGCACUAAAAUAUUAACAUCCAUUGAUCCAAGUACUUUGAUCAACGAACCAAGUUACCCUAGGGAUAACAGCGCAAUCUACUUCAAGAGUUCCUAUCGACAAGUGGGUUUACGACCUCGAUGUUGGAUCAGGGUGUCCCAGUGGUGCAGCCGCUACUAAUGGUUCGUUUGUUCAACGUUAAAACCCUACGUGAUCUGA